GAUUAUGGCUCAGGAUGAACGCUAGCGAUAGGCCUAACACAUGCAAGUCGAGGGGCAGCACAUGAGUAGCAAUACGAUGGUGGCGACCGGCGCACGGGUGAGUAACACGUAUGCAACCUACCUCUAACAGGGGGAUAGCCCGUUGAAAGACGGACUAAUACCCCAUAAUACAGGGGCUCCGCAUGGAGAUAUUUGUUAAAGAUUUUAUCGGUUAGAGAUGGGCAUGCGUUCCAUUAGCUAGUUGGUGAGGUAACGGCUCACCAAGGCGACGAUGGAUAGGGGAACUGAGAGGUUUAUCCCCCACACUGGAACUGAGACACGGUCCAGACUCCUACGGGAGGCAGCAGUGAGGAAUAUUGGUCAAUGGAGGCAACUCUGAACCAGCCAAGUCCGCGUGAAGGAUGAAGGUCUUAUGGAUUGUAAACUUCUUUUGCAGGGGAAUAAAUAGCGGUACGUGUACCGUUUUGCAUGUACCCUGCGAAUAAGGAUCGGCUAACUCCGUGCCAGCCGCGGC
rnacentral:rRNA from 1 species